ensembl:snRNA U6 U6 spliceosomal RNA
GUGCUUGCUUCAACGGCACAUAUACUAAAAUUGGAAUGACAUAGUGAAGAUUAGCAUGGCCUGUGCAUAAUGGAGAUACAGAAAUUCAUAAAGUGUUCCACACUAAA